rnacentral:tRNA from 1 species
GUGUCAGUAGCCCAGCCGGAUAGAGCGUCAGAUUCCGAUUCUGAAGGUCGCAGGUUCGACUCCUGUCUGACACA